rnacentral:piRNA from 1 species
UGCUUUUCUGCUAGGCCCUUCUCUU